rnacentral:rRNA from 1 species
CUCUAUAUAUAUAUCAUCGUUAAUGUAUUGGAUCUCAUUAGAACUAUGUAGUUAAGUGUGUUUGGGCUAGAGUAGUAUUGGGAUGGGUGACUUCCCGGGAAGUCCUAGUGUUGCACCUU